UACGGGGGGGGCAAGCGUUGUUCGGAAUUACUGGGCGUAAAGGGCUCGUAGGCGGCCAACUAAGUCAGACGUGAAAUCCCUCAGCUUAACUGGGGAACUGCGUCUGAUACUGGAUGGCUUGGAUCCGGGAGAGGGAUGCGGAAUUCCAGGUGUAGCGGUGAAAUGCGUAGAUAUCUGGAGGAACACCGAUGGCGAAGGCGGCAUCCUGGACCGACACUGACGCUGAGGAGCGAAAGCCAGGGGAGCAAACAGG
rnacentral:rRNA from 1 species